rnacentral:rRNA from 1 species
GACGAACGCUGGCGGCGCGCUUAACACAUGCAAGUCGAGCGAGAACCAGGGCUUCGGCUCUGGGGACAGCGGCGAACGGGUGAGUAACACGUGAGUAAUCUGCCCUCGACGACUGGGAUAGCCCGGGGAAACCCGGAUUAAUACCGGAUAGCCUUUCGAGCUCUCGGGCUCGUCAGAAAAGGAUGGCUUCGGCUUUCGGUUGAGGAUGAGCUUGCGGCGGAUUAGCUUGUUGGUGAGGAAC